AUGCGUGCCGGCGCGUCCUCGACGGACCGUAUCUUGGGGUGCCUGCAGGUGCCGUGCCCCAACGCCGGCUACGGCUGCUCCGUCAGGCUGGCCCGCCACGACCAGCGCGCGCACAUCCUCCAGGCGUGCCAGCACGGGCCAUGCCACUGCCCGGCAGAGGCCUGCGCCUUCGUCGGCCCGAUGACGGCGCUCUGGGACCAUUUCUCCGCGGCGCACGGGUGGCCGUGCACCACCGCUGUUCUGACCGGGGGCGAGAACGGCGUCCACCUCCGCGACGGUUUCAGUGUCGUCAACCUUCCGCGGCGAGGGCAGGUAUCUGCUCCUGUUGAGGGGUUCCCUGAACAGCGGGCCGUCUCCGCUAUCUGA
rnacentral:rRNA from 1 species